AACUUUCACGUCUCAUGAUUGCCUGUCAUGCUCAUGUUCAGAUUUCAAGGUUUCAAGUCUAGCUAUUUGCUGUCAAAUACUCGUUCAGGAAAUGAUUGACAAUUAGUUCUUUAAUGUGGUGGAACUUGCUACUAGAGAAACACAGAAGAUAAGUUACUAAACAAUUCCCAGAAUAACAGUAAAGUUCUAAUGUGCAGUAGAAAGUUCGUAUUGCACGUACGUUUACAUAAAUGUCAAGAAAGACAACACUAUCAAUUAUUCAUUUCUGCAGGAGUGGACGUUGGACGCCACGUGUAAAGAUUUAGACUUUAUCGCUAGAGGAACUGCAUACGUGAUGAAAUCUGUGAAGAGACACUCUGGAGAUUGAAAUUUGUAGGGGUACGAUCCGGUUCAGAGGAGCAUGCCAUGCUGUUCUCGUACUUUCUAAUAAUGAUGAACGAAAUUUCUAUCGCACAGCAGGGCAGAUUAAAUCAACUUCGUGAAUUAUGAGAGUCGUUGAGGAGUGUUCUUCACAAGUUUCUACAGAAGACCAAAUGCUAGGUGGUAUUUAUGAAGCGAACACUUCUUCAAUGAGUUUUGUGCAUCACUGUGGUUGGCAUCACGCAUGCGGGGAAUACCUGCCUCCCAAAUUGUCCCCUACGAUGCAUCCCCUCGUAAAUUGAGCACUGUGAAGCUUUGUGGAGGUCGCAUCUCUAUGUGUGAGCCAAUACUCCUAUUGAGCGAGCGCUCAGCUGCCAGUGUGCAGCAACAAAUGGUUGCUGCAUUGAUUCAUCUUUGUAACAACUCUAGAGGGAUUAGGUGUUUAUCGCGCUCUAUUUCUGGCUUGACCAAUCCCUUUGUGUGGGACAGUAGUAGGAAGCUCCAAACAGCUAUUGAGUGACUUGUGAGAACGGCAGCAGUUCUUUAAUGUGCUCCUCUCUGGAGCCUGCCUGCCACUCGUGUGCAUGUUUUCGUUUAAAGAAUUCCUCAUGGAUUGCCACCUUCUGACAAGGAAAAUAUUAUGUUGUGUUAUCUUAAAUCAUUAAUGGAUGGAUACAAGCGUAAUUAACCAUG